UAUGGCGACCGGCGCACGGGUGAGUAACACGUAUCCAACCUGCCGAUGACUCGGGGAUAGCCUUUCGAAAGAAAGAUUAAUACCUGAUGGCAUAGUUCUUCCGCAUGGUAGAACUAUUAAAGAAUUUCGGUCAUCGAUGGGGAUGCGUUCCAUUAGGUUGUUGGCGGGGUAACGGCCCACCAAGCCUUCGAUGGAUAGGGGUUCUGAGAGGAGGGUCCCCCACAUUGGAACUGAGACACGGUCCAA
rnacentral:rRNA from 1 species